AAUAAGUGUGUUUUUAUAUUGUUCAUGUCCAAUUUUUAAUCGUUCGUCUUAUUUAAAUUUUUUUAUAAUUAGUUUUUUAUUAGAUGAUAAAACAUAAAUAGUAUUUUAUGUGUGAUUUUUUUAAAAAAAUAUUUUAAAUAAGACGGAUGGUGAAAUGUUAGGCACGGUUACUCAUGGCUACACAUAUU
rfam:Oryza nivara chromosome 11, whole genome shotgun sequence.